rnacentral:rRNA from 1 species
UACGAAGGGGGGCUAGCGUUGCUCGGAAUCACUGGGCGUAAAGCGCACGUAGGCGGAUUGUUAAGUCAGGGGGUGAAAUCCUGGAGCUCAACUCCAGAACUGCCUUUGAUACUGACGGUCUUGAGUCCGGGAGAGGUGAGUGGAACUCCGAGUGUAGAGGUGAAAUUCGUAGAUAUUCGGAAGAACACCAGUGGCGAAGGCGGCUCACUGGCCCGGUACUGACGCUGAGGUGCGAAAGCGUGGGGGAGCAAACAGG